rnacentral:lncRNA from 1 species
AUUUAUGCAGGACAGCAUUAAAUAUGAAGUUAUUAACAUGAAUUCACAAGUUAAGAAAUUUGUAAGAUAGAAACAUUUUUUGAAAAAUUGUCUAUUUAAUUACUCUUUGUCUACUAUAUAUAGACACAUCCUACCCAAACAAAACUACUACCUCUAACUCUAAUCUAAAGCUGUUGUUAUAUAUAUAUACACACAGAUUAUUUGUGUCAUGUCUUAUUACUCAUUCGUGCUAGUUUUGUUUCUGGCAAUUAUCUCUCUUACCAAUGGUCGCAAUUACAGUCCUCCACCAACUGCAAGACAACAUACACAAAAGCCUCCGGUUUUUAAACCUCCUAUACGAAAACCGAUUACAGUCCCAAGUGCACCACAUAUACACCCUCCACAGCGAUCUCGACCACCUCCCAUGAUGUAAGAAUUCAGAACGCAUAGAGAAUCGAACGUGAGACCUUAAAGAGGAGCACACUUUCAGUUCUAUACCUACUAUUAGACCAAUCCAACUAGAUUAAGAAGCGUAUGUUGUUAUAUUCCAAUCUUAAUUAAUUAGUAUCUUGCUUUUAUCUUUGGAUGGUCAUUUGUUUUUCUUUAUUGUGGUUUAUCCUUGUGUCUUGUGGUUUAGCAUUUGUUUAAAAUAAAUCUUCCAACAACAAAUUAAUGGAUCGUUGAAAUAUUUUACACUUGUUAUCAUAUCAUUUAAUUUUGUUUUUUGAAAAGUCAAAAUGGUCCACUUAAAUUUGCAUCAAGAAGAAUCGAAUCUAAAAUUUUGAGAUGAGCACAUUCCAAUGUUCAGGCCAACACCAUCAAACUAACUCACCUAAAUUUGCAUUGAGAAGAAUCGAAAUUGAGACUUUGAAAGAAACACACUUGCAUGUCCAAACUAACAUCACUAGACCAACUCAAUUUACAUUUAAUUUGUACACUGUAAAUUUAAAAUUUAAUGUUCAGAAAUUGAGAAUUCUACUUUUAACAUUCCACUCAAACUCGGAUUGAUAUUCCAUGCUGUAAUAAAGCACACAGUUUUCACGCUAUACUAAAUCUCGGCCAUUAAUUAAAGAGCAAAUGGGCCAAUUCAAUACAAUUAUUUUUUAGAGAAUAAUCAAUACAAUUAUAAUAUCAUUCAAAACAAUUUCAGCCACACAUUUUAAAGCAGAUGGUGGUCUUCAUCUGCUACGGCGUCAUGCUGUGACAGCAGGAAAUUCAAAUCCCACAAACUCGAGUAGUGAAUUCUUACUUAAAUUUGAAAUACAAAUCCAAAGCCCAUAACCAAUCGAAGUUUGAAAUGGGUAGUUCUAGUCCUUCUAAACAAUUAGAGAACUGGUUCAUUGAUUCAGCUGCUUACCAUAUUACACCUAACUAAACAACAACACAUGAUAAUAGGUCAUAUGAAGAAUCAUGGGUAUGUAUGUCUUCCAGGAAAUGGUCCAUGCUUAAAAGUCAAAUAUGUCGGCUCUACAGUUUUCAUAUGUAAAUAACUCCAAGUCUCGAAUAGAAACUAACAGAAAGUUUAGUUAUUGUUGCGAAUUCGAUGAGAAAACCACACCAAUAACAAAUUUGAUGUGUGGAGUAAGGAACAAUCAAGCAACCAAAACAAAGUGUAUGGAACAAUUAUAAACACAAGGCAGAAGUAGAAAACAGCGAGAGAGAAAGGAAGAGAGAACACAAAAGAAUUUGUUGACCUAGUUCAGUCCAAAUUGACCUAGUCUGGAGGAGAGAGAGCAGCCCUCUGUUUCACUAUAUGAUGAGUAACCUUACAAAAGAGAUAUCAAUGGGUUACAAGAAUAAGUCUCCCGUUGUUAACCAAUAUUUUUAAAGGCUAUAAUUUAAUGCAGUCAAAAUAGGUUGACCUUGUCAUCGAAGAAAUUGUUUUCUCUCUCCGAUCGAAGUUGGACUUGCUGAAAAUGCUCGAAAGCGUGUGUUUUAGUUCGACGGGCAAAAAAGUUAUCCAAGGACAGUUUUGUUGUGGUUCGGAUAAGGUCAAGCAACAGAUAUUUCAAGACACAUUCGAAAUUCAAAUCGAAUGGAUAAGUAUUAUUAAUUUACUGCAGUUAUAGUUUUAAAUUCAAAUCUAGGUAGUUAUUUCUAUUUCUAUAAAUAGUAGUUUUUCCUCAGGAAAAGUGGUCACAAUUCAAUUAUACAAAAAACUUACACUUAAAUUAUCCGCAUGCAAGAGAGAAACGAAUCACAAAUUGCAAUGUAUGAACAUGUGUACUUGUUUACUUGUGUCUUAAGGCUCAAUUUAACCUUUCCCACAAAGUAAUUGAUCGUAAUAUUUACCAAUAAGGUAAUUAACGAUUCCUCUUUUCAUUUUCUUAUUUCCUUUGCUCUUUUCAUCAUUGGUAUAUGGUUAUACUAUCCUUUACAACAACAUAUGAACUAUUAUGAUGGUUGCAAUAAGUCCAUCGAAGCUUAGCAUCCAUAUUUUCUUUUGACUUUAAGUAAUUUCAUCGAAGUAUCUUCAAGGUGCAUUAAUCCACGGUACUGGCAGUUUUAUCUUCUUUUUUUUGGGUCACUAGCACUCUUAUUCUACCUCCACACCAACUACUAGAUUUAUGGAAAAUAGCAUCUAUAUUCGAAUCUUAAUCCUGUUUUUAUGUUUGGAUGGUCAUUUUUUUUCCCUUUAUUGUGGUUUAGCUUUGUUUCUUGUGGUUUAGCAUUUGUUUAAAAUAAAUCAUCCAUCAGCAAAUUAAAGGUAAUAUUUGUUAUAUCAUUAGUAUACAUUUAAUUGUGAUUUUUUAAGAAGCAAAAUUAAUCUACCUAAAUAUAGAUUGGAAAGAAUCGAACGUAAUACCUUAAAAGAAACAUGCUCAAAUGUCUCAUGCCAACAUCAUCAAACCAACUCAGUUAAGGUUUAAUUUUAUAUAUGUGAAUUUCAAAUUUAAUGUUGAGAAGUUGAGAAUUUGGAAUAUUGGAGCCAAAAGAGCUUCAAAGCUUUGAUUAAGAGAAAGAUUCAUAUAGAUACAUUUUAAUAAAAGAUGGGUAAUAAGUACAUCGAUGGUGUCCUCGUAAACUUAGCUUAGUUGGUUGAGACAAUGCAUAAAAUAUGCAAGGUCCGGGGUUCAAACCCCGGCCACUACCCAAAAAAUAAAAAAAGUACAUGGAUGGUCUUAUUUAUAGAUCUCAAUUACACUAACUACUUGACUAACCAAAUCUUACUACCUGCUUAACAUUUAACCAACUUUAAUUACCUUAAUUAACUCCACCUAUCUUCCAACUAUUUUAACACAUCCCCCCUCAAACUCAAGGUAAGAAAUUUUUUACUUUAAUUUGAAUUACAAAUCCAAAUUCUAAAACUGAGAGAAAAUGGUGGCCCAAAAUGGUAUGCAGUAAACAAUAGGGGAUAAACUAGUAAAAAAAAAUAAAAAAUAGGCAUUGACUAAAGACCCUCUGUUGUGAGAAAGUGAGAUGAAAAUUGCCCAACAACACAAUACACCUUCAUCUUCUACUUCGUAGUUUCACGUUGACUACUUUUGAAACGCUAAUCCUAAAAGAUUUCAACCAAAAUAGCUUUCUUCAAACAUGAUUUUGAAAAAGUGACUCUGCAAACAUGAUUCUUAAAAAUUGAUUCCAAACGCACUUUCAUCCAACAUCAGUUUUCGUUGUCAAACAAGGAUUCUUCAAAACUAAAAAUUGGAACACAAUUACAUCCAAACGCUUCUACCUAACUCAAAAAAGGGUGAGAUAUGCUUAUAAUACAUUUUGUCAUCGAAAAAAAUGGGAAUGAAUGCAAUUCUUGAAACUGAACACAUGGAGGAAUGCUCACAUAUGAAAGAAAAAUAGUAUACAAAGAAUAUAUAUUAUAGAUCAAAAUUCUCAUAACAAUGAUUUAGGUGAAAGUUGUUCCAAUUAGAACGUCCAAUUUUUCCUCUUUUGUACCCUACAAUCCAUCUUUAAUGAUAUUCUACGUAAUCCCAUUUCAGUGUGUAUGCAAUUUAGAACUUAGACUUUGAAGUUCUCAUAAUUUAGAACUAAGACUUUGAAGUCUUCAUAAUUCAGUCAUAAUUCUCAUUCAAUCAUUGCACCCUCUAGUAGCGUGACUUACCGAGAAAAUGUCAUGGCCCUAUGUUAAAAUGGGGCCAAAUGAGGUGGAAUCUUCAAAUGAGUUUUUUCUUUACUUGAAUUUUUAUGUAAAUAGAUCUCUGUUGUCAAUAGCGGCUUAACGCGGCACGAUCGCGGCUGAAAACAGCCUAGCGCGUCAGAACGCGACCGCAACGCGCGUUAGGCAAUAGCGGGCGAAAACCGGGUUUCGCGGCCGCUUUGACAACAGAGAAAUAGAUAGAUGGAUAUGUAAAAUUGAUCUACGACCACAAAAACAAACAUAGACAUUAUUUUCUGGUAACCAAAAAAUUCUUCUAUUAAUAAAAGAAGAGAAACGUUAACUUAUUUCCUUAGCACACAAAUGUAAGAACUAAAUAUAUAUAUAAAAAAUCUAGUAUUCAAUAUUUUAAAAGCUUAAAGUUUUAUCUAUAUAUCAAAUACAAAAAUUCUUUUUUAAUAUUUUUUUAAUUUUUUAACUUAUGUCCUUAGACCUUUUAGAAGAGAAAAAAUGUGUGCACUUAAACCACAAGAUAGCAUGGAUACUAAAAACAACAAUAUAAAAGUCUUUCAAAGUUCAUGUUAGUAAAAAAUAUUGAAGCACUCCAUGGUUAUGCUAUACCCAGAAAAAAACGUACUAGCUCAAUUCUAAAGCUUGUAUACCGGUGAAAUGGUGAUCAUCAUUAGGAAGGGUAGAAUGAUGUCUUGUUUUUUAUCUAAUCCGAACUAGAGGUAUUUUUGUCAUUUUUUGCAGGGCGCGCGGGAACAAAGAAGGAACUAGUUUUUAUUUUUGGUCUAUACGCGUCGACGUAUUUUUUGGGAUAUAUAAUGUAAUGACCAAUUUUUUGGCUAAUAUGUAACUAAUAUAUAUAUAUAUAUAUAAUUUGCUAGAACACCCACUAGUUUUUAUGUGGGAGUGUUUUAGCAAGUUAUAACUAAAAAGUUAAUAAAUACACCUUAAGGUGUAUGUUGCUGUAACACACCUUCUAAAAAAAUAAAUGGGUGUGUUAUAACAAAUCCUAUAGGCAUUUGCUAGAAUACAUCCACUUAUUUUUUAGAAGGAGUAUUUUAGUAAAUAAAUAACUAAAAAGUGGUUAAAUACACCUUAAGGUGUAGCUUUGUUAAAACACUCCCACAUAAAAAUUAGUGGGUGUGUUCUAGCAAACCCCAUAUAUAUUUGAGUUUCGCAUUUAUUAUAAUGUUACGUUCCUAAUGCACCUAUCUAAUGCUUCACUUUUCUCUUCGGUAAUUUGUGCUCGUCGCUCCGUUCACAAACUAACUCUAACAUAGCAUUUAUACCUUCACAAGAUCUUCUAAUGAUAACCGUAAAUCCAGCCCUAUCUGCUUGUUGACGGAUCCAACCGAGCAAUUCCUCUUUAUCUUUCCAUGUAUCUCGUGUCGGAAAAAAAUGAACCAUGUCCACGUCGUUCUCACGAAGUUUACACACAUUGGAAUUGACGCUUGAAGCCUCUACUCUAACGGAAGCUUCGACCUUAAUGGGGGCUUCAACCUUAACGAAAUCGACAGCACUAGGUUUUCGAUCACCCGGAUCAUCAUCCGCAUUCUCAACCAUAUCUAUAAAUAAACAACAUAUAAUUUGUAAAUUAAUUAAUAAACAUGUAUCUAACAUCGUAUAAUAACAUAAACAAACAAAAAAAGACAAAAGAAAUUUUUUUUUGGUAGUAGCAUUGGCAUUUUCAAAAUUUUCUAAGUUACCAGCGGCAGUUAACAACUGCUCACACCCAACGGUAGUUAACUGCCGCUACAGCUCGUGACAGUACAAAAAACAACCAGAAAAAUCAAUCAAAUGUAAUGGAUUUUAACGUUGUAAUACCUGUUCUUUGAUGCAUAUUGUGUGUAGAAACGUCCUAGCAAUCGAUCAGCAAUGAUUUGGAAGCAAGACUUUGACACAAAAAAUUUUGAAAUGAGAUUUUUUUUAGGUAUGGUAAUGAUGAGGUAAGGUGAUGAGUGAAUAGGAGAGGUAGGGGUUUUCUGGUUUUGGAGGGAAAAAAGCAACGGUAGUUAACAACCGCUGAGUCCUAGCGGCAAUUAACUGCUGACGGUUCUUCAAACGGUAGUUAACUACCGCUAGGGGCAUUAACAUCAUUUACUUGUGUCAAUAGGAAUUAUUCAUUGUCAAAAAAGCAAUUUUCUAAAUUAGAGGUUUAGUUUCAUAAAGCUGUUUGCACCCCUCAAAGACACCUCUACUCUGUCACAUACAUGUGCGAAGCAGCAUAUUUUGAGCUUGAACAUCAAUCGUGUUGUGAAUUCGUUGAGAAAACCACACCAAUAAAACUUGAUGCGUGGAGCAAAUUAAUACCAAGUAAUCAAAUCAAGCGGGUAUCAAUUAAUCCAAACAAAAAUAAACAGCAAGAGAUAAAAGGAAGAGAGAGAGAGAGAAAGAACACAAGAAUUUGUUUACCCAGUUCGGUCUAAUGAUGACCUAGUCUGCUCUCCGAUCCACUAUAAUGAUAUGAGUUUCUUUACAAAGAGAUAUUGAGUUCCAAGAAUUAGUCUUCAAACCUAAUUCUACCCAAGUCCCAGCCUCUUCCCGUGACCAAGAGACUCAAUCCUAAUAGUGUUUUGUUCAAGGUGAAUCAAAACAAUCCCAACCCUAGAGUUGUUGCCAAGAGAAAUUCUCUAUAAACCCUAGUUUGUAUGUUGGUUUCUAAACCCUGUUUUUCUACACACUUUAUCAUCUGAUACAAGGCUUAUAUUUAUAGUGGAAAGUAAACCCUUAAAAAACUGAAACAAAUCUAACUGAAAAUACGUUUUAUUUUUAUCUUCAGCGCGACCAUCGUGGCACGAAAUUUCCAGUAGCUUCCCAGGAAUCUUGCUUCAACAAUCGUGGCGCGAUGCUUCUCCAUCGUGGCACGAUUCUCCAGAUUUCUGAUUUUAAGUUAACUCUCACAAUUCUCCACCUUGACUUCAAAUCAGUGAUGAUGCCAAUUUAACCAUCAAUCACUUUGCUGCUCUCUCCAAUCCUUCAUCUAUGCUUCAAUGAAGUUAAUCAAGUCCAAGCAAUGCUUGAACCUUGAUCUUGGUAAUGAUUUGGUGAACAUGUCUGCUGGAUUGUCUUCCGAUGCCACUUUCUCUACCAUGAUCUCCUUUGUCUCAAUCAUGUCUCUUACGAAGUGCAAACGAAUGUCAAUGUGUUUUGUCCUUUCAUGAUAUACCUGAUGAUUUGCCAAAUGAAUGGCACUUUGGCUAUCACAAUGUAUCUUCACACACCCUUGACUAAUCCCCAUUUCUCCAAUCAUACCUUUCAACCAUAUGGCUUCCUUGACCCCUUCAACAAGGGCUAUGUACUCUGCUUGAGUUGUUGAAAGAGCUACAACUGAUUGUUGAUUUGCCUUCCAAGUUACCGCUGUACCGAACAAUGUAAACACAAAACCUGACAAAGAUUUUCUAGUGUCUACGUUACCUGCAUAGUCCGCAUCCACAUAUCCCUCCAAAGCAUCCCUACCUGGUUGUGACCUUGUAUACCUUAGACCACCUUUCAAAGAUCCAUUCAAAUAUCUCAGAACCCACUUCAAAGCUUGCCAGUGCACUUGACCCGGAUUUGCCAUAAACCGACUUAUCACACUGAUUGCGUAGGAUAAGUCCGGUCUACUACAAACCAUACCAUACAUGAUGCUUCCAACCCCACUUGCAUAGGGAGUACCCUCCAUCUUGCUUUUCUCUUCAUCGGAUUGAGGACACUGCUUUAUAGAUAGCUUAGUGUGGUGACCAAGAGGAGUGCUAACGACUUUAGAAUCUUUCAUUCUGAACCGCUCCACCACUUUCCUCAAGUACCCCUGCUGAGAUAAGAACAACUCACCUUUGUUCCGGUCCCUUAUGAUAUCCAUACCAAGUAUCUUCUUUGCAUUACCAAGAUCCUUCAUCUCAAAUUCAUCAUUCAAUCUUUCCUUGAGCUUCUAAAUCUCUUGCAUGUCAGAACUUGCCAUAAGAAUAUCAUCUACAUAAAGGAGAAGGUAGAGAAUAACUUUCUCAUUCCUUCUCAUCAUGUAAACACAACUGUCAUAGUUGCUUCUCACAAAACCAGCCUUUACUAGGAACUCAUCAAACCGACGAUACCAAUGCCUUGGACUUUGCUUCAACCCAUACAAAGAUUUCUUCAACAAACACACUUUUGUAUUGUCUUCUACAAAACCUUAUGGUUGUUGCAUAUAGAUAGUUUCUUCCAACUCUCCAUGUAGAAAUGCGGUAUUCACAUCCAUUUGUUCUAACUCAAGAUCAUACAUGUUAACAAUCGCCAUAAGUACCCUUAUAGAACAAUGUUUUACUACCGGUGAAAAGAUUUCAUUGUAAUCAAUCACUUCCACCUGAGUAAAACCCUUUGCUACAAGUCUUGCCUUAUACCUUAGUGCUUCGACCCCUGGUAUACCAUGUUUCUUCUUAAACACCCACUUGCUUCCCACUACACUUUGAUUCUUAGGUAAUGUAACAAGUUUCCAAGUCUGGUUCUUCUCCAAUGAAAGCAUUUCCUCAUUCAUUGCCUUCAGCCAGUCCUUGUUUUCAUUGCUUUCUAAUGCCUCCCUGAAGUUCUUUGGUUCAGAGUCUUGCAAUUCUUCAGCCGCAUUCAAAGCAUAACAAAUAAGGUCAGCAUAACCGUAUCUCUUAGGUGGAUUAAUAUGUCUCCUCUCCCUAUCUCUUGCUAGCUGAUAGUCAUGAUUAAUUAUCUCUUGGCCUUCACUCUCAUCAGGUACUGGAGUCUGAUCCUCCACUUACCUUUCAUCAGUGGUAGGCUCCACCUCAAACUGAAUUUUCUCUAUCCCCGUUUCCGAGCUUGUAUCCAGGUCUUUGCACUUCAUCCCCAUGCGGGUCUCAUCAAAAGUAACAUCCCUGCUUAUGAUAAAUUUUGAUCCUCCAGGUUCCAUCUUCCACAGUCUGUAACCUUUCACACCUUCAAGAUAACCCAUGAAAAUACACUUCACAGCUCUAGCAUCAAGUUUGUCUUGAAUGACAUGAGAAAACGCUAAAGCUCCGAAAACUUUCAAGUUAGAGUAGUCUACCGGUCUCCCACUCCAAACCUCCAUAGGUGUGUUGAGAUCUAUCCCUGUUGAUGGACAUCUUUUAAUCAAAUAUGCUGCAGUACUAACAGCCUCUCCCUAAAAACUCUUGGACAAUCCAGCUCCCAACAGCAUACACCUCACACGCUCCAACAAAGUCCAGUUCAUUCUUUCAGCAAGACCAUUCUGUUGAGGUGUGUAUGCCACAGUUCUAUGCCUCUUUAUACCUUUCUUCCUGCAAAACUCAUUAAACUGCUCUGAAACAAACUCCAGGCCAUUGUCAGUUCUCAACACUUUCAGUUUAGUUCCAAUCUGAUUUUCUACAAGUAUAUACCAUUCAUUGAAUUUUUCAAAGGCAUCACUUUUCUUCUUCAGAAUGUAAACCCAUACUCUUCUAGAAUAAUCAUCAAUGAUAGACAUGAAAUAUGAACCUCCCCAUGAGUCUUGACUGAUGCUGGACCACAAAGAUCUGAAUGAACAUACUCAAACGGCCUACUAGAUUUAUGCACCCCCACUCCAAACUUCACCUUGUGUUGUUUGCCUAAUGUAAAGUUAUCACAGAAAUCUAGCUUGUUCAAUUUUUCAUUCCCUAGCAAACCUUGUUUAGCUAGCUCAACCAAAUCCCUCUCACUAACAUGACCUAACCUCAAAUGCCAAAGUUUAGUUAUAUCCAGAGUGUCAACACUAGCAACCGAUGCAUGAGCUAUUACGGUGGAACCUUCUAAAAUAUAUAAAACAUGUAUUUUAGACCCUUUAGAUAUAACCAAUGCACCAUGAGAAAUUCUCAUCACACCACGUUCAAUUCUAGUGCAAUAGCCUAGAACAUCAAACAUGCUUAUGGAUAUUAAAUUUCUCCUAAGUUCAGGAAUAUACUUCACAUCCUUCAAAAGGAAAUCACGAUCAUCAAACAUUUUGAGUCGGAUAGUACCAAAACCUUGAAUUUUACAAGCCUUAUUAUUACCAAGGCGAACUACUCCACCUUCAGCCAGUUCUAACGUUUCAAAGUACUCCUUUCUCGGACAGAUGUGAUAAGAGCACCCAGAGUCCAAGACCUAGCCCUUUUCAGGUUCCCAACUUGUCGCAGUUAGUGCUCCAGCACUCUCAUAACCUUCAUCUUUGCUUGCAAUCUGAACGGAUGAAUUUCCACCUCCAUUGUCCUUUCUCUCCGGACAAUCCUUCUUGAAGUGACCUGGAUUAUGACAAAUAAAAUAUUUGUACUGUGUUUUAUUGCCAUCACCCUUCGACCUAGACUUUGACCUGGAAUUCUUGUCUUUCCCUUUUCCUCUGUUCUGACUUCUCCCCCUUGAGACAUUCAAGCCUUCUCCACUAUCAUCAACCUUCAACUCUUUGAACUUGGUUAACUUUUUGGUUCUCAAAACUGCUUGAACUUCCUCCAAAGUGAUAGUGCCCUCUUUGCCAUAAAGCAUAGUAUCCUUGAAAUUCUCAAAGGACCUAGGUAAAGCACACAGUAGGUGUAAGGCUUUAUCCUCGUCUUCCAGAUUAACAUCUAUGUUCGCCAAAUCAUCAAUAAUCUUAUUGAACUCCGUCAGUUGCUCCAUUAUAGGUUUUGACUCCACCAUUCGGUAAAAGUAGAGUUGUUGUUUCAGACAUUGUCUAUGUGCCAAAGACUUGGUCAUGUAUAAUGAAUCAAGUUUAUUCCACAUAGACACAGCAGUAGUCUCCCUUGAUACUUCUCUCAACACCUUAUCCCCAAGACACAGAAUGAUAGCGCUGACCGCUUUAUCAUUCAUCUCCGUCUUCUCAGCAGGUGUCAGAUGUGCAGACAUCUGUGCUUCUCCCUUCAAUGCUUCAACACACUUUUGUUGAAUUAAAAUUGCCCUCAUCUUUACCUUCCACAACCCGAAGUCGUUACUACCGGUAAACUUUUCAAUAUCCCACUUCGAACCCAUGAUACCUGAUUAUUGAUUUGACCUUUGCCCCACGGUGGGCGCCAAUUGUUGUGAAUUCGUUGAGAAAACCACACCAAUAAAACUUGAUGCAUGGAGCAAAUUAAUACCAAGUAAUCAAAUCAAGCGGGUAGCAAUUAAUCCAAACAAAAAUAAACAGCAAGAGAUAAAAGGAAGAGAGAGAGAGAGAAAGAACACAAGAAUUUGUUUACCCAGUUCGGUCUAAUGAUGACCUAGUCUGCUCUCCGAUCCACUAUAAUGAUAUGAGUUUCUUUACAAAGAGAUAUUGAGUUCCAAGAAUUAGUCUUCAAACCUAAUUCUACCCAAGUCCCAGCCUCUUCCCGUGACCAAGAGACUCAAUCCUAAUAGUGUUUUGUUCAAGGUGAAUCAAAACAAUCCCAACCCUAUAGUUGUUGCUAAGAGAAAUUCUCUGUAAACCCUAGUUUGUAUGUUGGUUUCUAAACCUUGUUUUUCUACACACUUUUAUCAUCUGAUACAAGGCUGUAUUUAUAGUGGAAAGUAAACCCUUAAAAAACUGAAACAAAUCUAACUGAAAAUACGUUUUAUUUUUAUCUUCAGCGAUGCCAUCGUGGCACGAUGCGGCUUCAUCGUGGCACGAUUUUUCCAGUAGUUUCCCAGGAAUCUUGCUUCAACAAUCGUGGCGCGAUGCUUCUCCAUCGUGGCACGAUACUUCAGAUUUCUGAUUUUAAGUUAACUCUCACAAAUGGUAUAAGGCUAUACUAUAUAUCAUUUACAACAUAUGAACUAUUAUGAUGACAGCAAUAAGUCCAUCGAAGCUUACCAUCCAUAUUUUCUUGACUUUUUAAAAUUUUAAUAACUAAAGCUGAAUAUUCUGUUUUUUAAGUAAUUUCUUCGAAGUAUCUUCAAGGUGCAAUAAUCCACGGUACUGGCAGUUUUAUCUUUUUUUUUUUUUUUUGGGUCAAUAGCACUCUUAUUCUUGUUUUUUUUUUUUUGGUCAAGUAGCCUAGUUGUAGAGCUCACACGAUUUAAUUGUGGAGAAGUGGAGUGUUCGGGGUUCGAACCCCAGCUCCUGCAUAUAAUAUACAGUAUCCCUACCAACUGAGUUAAGCUCACGGGGAUGCACUCUUAUUUUACCUCCACACACCAACUACUAGAUUUAUGGAAAAUAACACUAAAUAAUACAAAGUGAUUAAUAUGAAGUCACAAGUUAAGAAAUUUGAAGGAUAAAAAUAUUUUCUUAAUGUUAACAUAACCCGAAAAGGAAAAUGCUAAGAAGAAGAUAAAGCCGCUAGCUACACUGCACUUUGUUAUGUGAGCAGUAAAAAGUACUCCUCCCUCCGCCCCUUAAUACAUGAUACAGUUGACUCCAUUACGCAUUCCAAUACAUAAUUUUGAGCUUAAAUAUCUUGAAUAAUAUGUUAGAAAAAAUCAUGAAAAUUUGAUAUUUUGAAAAUACUCAUCGAGACGAAUCUAACGAUAUCUUAUAUGAUAUUAUUUAUCUAUAUAUAUUAGUAGAAAAAUAUGGUCAAAGUAAGCUAGGUCAAAAUUGCAAAUUUUCAAAUAGAUCAUUUAUUACGCGACGGAGAGAGUAUUGGUUAUAUAUACAAACCCAACCUAAACACUACUACCUCUAACUCUAAAGUGUUGUUAUAUAUUUACACACAGAUUAUUUGUGUCAUGUCUUGUUACUUAUCCAUUCUAGUUUUGUUUCUGGCAGUUAUCUCUCUUACCAAUGGUCGCAAUUACAGCCCACCAAAUGGAAUACCGCAUAUACACCUUCCAAAUCCUCCUUUGUUUCAACAGCCUAUUGUAACCCCUCCAAUACCGGUCCCAGGCACACCACAUAUACACCCUCCGAAACCUCGUAUAAUUAAACCUCCUAUACAACCACCUAUACCGGUCCCAAGCGCGCCGCAUAUACACCCUCCAAGGCCAUCUCGACCACCUCCCAAGAUGUAAGAAUUCAGAACGCACAGCAGCAAACAAGCGUAUAUUGUUAUAUUCCAAUCUUAAUCCUGUUUUUAUGUUUGGAUGGUCAUUUUUUCCUUUAUUGUGGUUUAGCCUUGUUUCUU